rnacentral:rRNA from 1 species
UACGGAGGGUGCAAGCGUUAAUCGGAAUUACUGGGCGUAAAGCGCGCGUAGGCGGUUUGAUAAGCGGAAUGUGAAAUCCCCGGGCUUAACCUGGGAACUGCAUUCCGAACUGUCAAGCUAGAGUAUGGUAGAGGGUGGCGGAAUUCCGAGUGUAGCGGUGAAAUGCGUAGAUAUUCGGAGGAACACCAGUGGCGAAGGCGGCCACCUGGACUAAUACUGACGCUGAGGUGCGAAAGCGUGGGGAGCAAACAGG